GAUUCAGUAGCAGGAAGGAGUUUUGAGGUGUUACGUUUUAUUCCCUCCCCCCCCACUGAUUCAGUAGCAGGAAGGAGUUGAGGUGUCGCGUUUUAUUCCCUCCCCCCCCACGGAUUCAGUAGCAGGAAGGAGUUUUGAGGUGUUGCGAUAUCAUAGAGUCUUUUAGCGUCACAGAAUACCAGUUAACCGAAAGCAGUAAUUCAGCGAUUGUUAGUUUGUACAUAGACCAGUACCAGGAUCCAUAUUUGCUUGUUUCUCUAUCAUGUCUUUUACAUUUGUAGGAGAAGUUGUUGUUUUAAUGAACUAUCUUUGUUUCAGAUGAUCUGUCUGUCUGUCUGUCUGUGUGUAAGAUUUAUUGUAAAAUAAUUGUAAAGGAUCAAAAUAAAUGGAGUUUGGAGAGA